GAUUAAUACAAAAAAAAUUGCAAUAAAAAAACAAGACCGAUUUAUUAAAAACCAAUAAUUUUUUCAACAUUUCAUUGCGGGGCUUAAAUCAGCUUAAAAAUAACAAAGUAAUCAACUUAUAAAUUAAUUAAUAUUAAAAGGACUCCAGAACAAAACACGUUCCUUGAUAAUAUUCCGUAUAAAUGGCUGUAAGUUGUCUUGUAGACAAUUUGAUUAUAAGACUGCUGCAUAACAAAUGUGAUUAACAAAAUUAAUAGCACACGAUCGAAUAUACACGUUUUUGCUUUUGAAAGAAGAGAAUCUGCUGUAAUCUAGCUAAGAAAUUUGUAAUGAUCGUCAACUAUAAAAUUCUCCAAUAUUUGAAAUUUUUUUACAAAUUUUAAAGUAUUAAGAGAAUAUUUGUGGAGAAAAUAAUCGAAAAUUUUAAAAAAUUGCAAGAUUUUCGAAUCAAAAUCUAUGCAUAUUAAAUUUUUGCAUUUGCGUUAGCGCAAUCGUCCUCAGAAAGGAAUGGGCAACAUUAAUUAGUCAAAUUAUAAAAUUAUCAAAUACUUUAGCUUAUCUGAUCCGAAUUAUCAAAUUAUACAAUUAAUUCCUAAUUUUCUAGUCAUAAUAAAGUGUCAGUCACUUAGUAAUAGUCAUUCACUUUUCUUCUCUAAAUAAAAAAUCAGUUUUUGCGGUGACAAUCAAAAUAAAUUCUUCUUAUACUUAAAAUAAAAUUUAAUUGUAUUAAAAAUUCAAAAACUUUAAAAUAAAAUAAAAUUAUUGAAGCAUAACAUUGAGAAAAAAAAUAAAUAAAAAUUUUAACAUUUUUAAAUUUUUCAUUUAAUAAAUGCGUGCAUCUCUUCUUAUACCUUUCAUUUGCAAUUCUUUAAUGUCAACAAUUUUUAAUGUUAUAAUUUGUGACAUUAUUCAAAAAACAAUAAAGUUGGGUCAAACCAAUGGUUUGUAUUGUAGCACUUUUCCCUUCUACAAGUGAAAAUUCUGCUUUUAAAUACAGUCUAUGUAUACCUAUCCCACAUUCUAAAAAUUAUUUUCAUUCAUAUACAAAACUCUUUCUAGGAUUGCAUAUAUUUAGGAUGAACGAUUUAUGCAGUCUUUGAAAUAAAGCAAAAAUUAAUAUAAAAAGGGGUUAACAUAAUGCUCGAUUUUAAGGGUUAAUUAUGUGAGUUAAGAAAAAUAAUUAUAUUUUUUAAUGUCAUGGAAUUUACCGUUAGCUUUUUGUGUUUAUAAAAAUUUGAAAAAUAUAAGGUGUCGGAAAUAUAAGGUGUCAAAAAUUCAAAUUUUAGAAAUUUUAAGAGGCGAUAACUUGAGAGGGGGUAGAGAUGAAAAAAAUUUUCUUCUAACAAAAUGUACUAUUUAUUAAUGUCUAAAAGUUCAUAAAAUUUCAAGCUUCUACAGGUUGGGGUCUAGAAAAUAAACGACAUCAAAAAUUUGGAAAAAACGAACUUUAGAUAACGGUAAAUUUGAGCGGCCAUUUUGUUUUUCUAAAGUUAACCUUUAGU